GGAUAACGUAGCGAAAGCUACGCUAAUACCGCAUACGCCCUGAGGGGGAAAGCGGGGGAUUCUUCGGAACCUCGCGCGAUUGGAGCGGCCGAUGUCGGAUUAGCUAGUAGGUGAGGUAAAGGCUCACCUAGGCGACGAUCCGUAGCGGGUCUGAGAGGAUGAUCCGCCACACUGGGACUGAGACACGGCCCAGACUCCUCCGGGUUGCAGCAGUGGGGAAUUUUGGACACUGGGCGCAAGCCUGAUCCAGCCAUGCCGCGUGAGUGAAGAAGCCUUCGGGUUGUAAAGCUCUUUCGGCCGGGAAGAAAUCGUGGUCUCUAACAUAGGCCAUGGAUGACGGUACCGGACUAAGAAGCACCGGCUAACUACGUGCCAGCAGCCGCGGUAAAUACGUAGGGUGCGAGCGUUAAUCGGAAUUACUGGGCGUAAAGCGUGCGCAGGCGGUUUUGUAAGACAGAUGUGAAAUCCCCGGGCUUAACCUGGGAACUGCGUUUGUGACUGCAAGGCUAGAGUACGGCAGAGGGGGGUGGAAUUCCUGGUGUAGCAGUGAAAUGCGUAGAGAUCAGGAGGAACACCGAUGGCGAAGGCAGCCCCCUGGGAUGACACUGACGCUCAUGUACGAAAGCGUGGGUAGCAAACAGGAUUAGAUACCCUGGUAGUCCACGCCCUAAACGAUGUCAACUGGUUGUUGGGGGAGUGAAAUCCCUUAGUAACGAAGCUAACGCGUGAAGUUGACCGCCUGGGGAGUACGGUCGCAAGAUUAAAACUCAAAGGAAUUGACGGGGACCCGCACAAGCGGUGGAUGAUGUGGAUUAAUUCGAUGCAACGCGAAAAACCUUACCUACCCUU
rnacentral:rRNA from 1 species